rnacentral:rRNA from 1 species
GACGAACGCUGGCGGCGUGCUUAACACAUGCAAGUCGAACGGAAAGGCCCUGCUUUUGUGGGGUGCUCUAGUUGCGACCGGGUGACUAACCCGUGAGUUACCUGCCCCUGACUUUGGGAUAUCUUCAUAACACUUGGUCUAAUACCGGCUAGGAGCUCCUGCUUCAUGGUGGGGGUUGGAAAGUUUCGGCGGUUGGUGAUGUACUCGCGGCUUAUCAGCUUGUUGGUGGGGUAGUGGAUUACCAUGGCCUUGCCGGGUAGCCGGCCUGGGGGGGUGACCGGCCAAAUUGGGACGGGGAUAAGGCCCAGACUCCUAAGGGAGGCAGGGGUGGGGAAUAUUGCACAAUGGGAGGAAGCCUGAGGCAGCAAAGCAGCGUGCGGGAUGAGAGGCUUCGGGUUGUAAACCGCUUUCGCCUGUGACGAGGAGAGAGUGACGGUAAUGGGUGAAGAAGCACCGGCUAACUACGUG